GAAAUCCCCGGGCUCAACCUGGGAACUGCAUUUGAAACUGGCAGGCUUGAGUCUUGUAGAGGGGGGUAGAAUUCCAGGUGUAGCGGUGAAAUGCGUAGAGAUCUGGAGGAAUACCGGUGGCGAAGGCGGCCCCCUGGACAAAGACUGACGCUCAGGUGCGAAAGCGUGGGGAGCAAACAGGAUUAGAUACCCUGGUAGUCCACGCCGUAAACGAUGUCGACUUGGAGGUUGUGCCCUUGAGGCGUGGCUUCCGGAGCUAACGCGUUAAGUCGACCGCCUGGGGAGUACGGCCGCAAGGUUAAAACUCAAAUGAAUUGACGGGGGCCCGCACAAGCGGUGGAGCAUGUGGUUUAAUUCGAUGCAACGCGAAGAACCUUACCUACUCUUGACAUCCAGAGAACUUGCCAGAGAUGGCUUGGUGCCUUCGGGAACUCUGAGACAGGUGCUGCAUGGCUGUCGUCAGCUCGUGUUGUGAAAUGUUGGGUUAAGUCCCGCAACGAGCGCAACCCUUAUCCUUUGUUGCCAGCGGUUAGGCCGGGAACUCAAAGGAGACUGCCAGUGAUAAACUGGA
rnacentral:rRNA from 1 species